CGCGUAGGGAUCUACCUAGCAGUGGGGGAUAGCCCGGUGAAAACCGGAUUAAUACCGCAUACGACCUUCGGUGAAGGGUGCCUCUCCUUGGAAGCAUUCACUGUUAGAUGAACCUGCGUCAGAUUAGCUAGUUGGUGGGGUAAUGGCCUACCAAGGCGACGAUCUGUAGCUGGUCUGAGAGGAUGAUCAGCCACACUGGGACUGAGACACGGCCCAGACUCCUACGGGAGGCAGCAGUGGGGAAGUAUUGCGCAAUGGGCGAAAGCCUGACGCAGCAAUACCGCGUGUGUGAAGAAGGCC
rnacentral:rRNA from 1 species